AGAAAAAAAAAACACUCUUCCGGUCAAUUCUUAUUUUGACCAAAAAUAGCUCUGUCACUUUAAAAUGAGCACGAGCAGUUCGUCAGACUCUGAAGAGUCCUUCAUGACGUGACAGCGCGUCCCCAGGCUAUUAUCUCCCUCAAAGUUCUUAUCAGAUGUUUGGUUCAUUCGCGAUCGUUCUCGGUGUUUUGAAGGAGUUUAUAUAUCUUGCUGUUUCUGAUCUGCUUGGCUUAGUGAACAAGUGCUACUCGAAUUGAUAGAGAAAAAUCGUAUCUGCUUUAGACGAGAUUCUGAAACCGAUUUCCGACAUAAUAGAUCGUAAAGCAUCAGUGAGAAAAUGUCUCGAAACAAAUUUGUACCUUUCCAGCAGUCCACACACCUCCCUCCCUUCAUCAUAACGGGACUUGGUGGACAGCACCCACAACCACCAGCUUACAGGAGCUACGACAAGGAUUGUGGGAACAUUAGUUCCCAACAGUCCAGACCCCUUCCUACCUUUAACGUCAGAGGUGCUGAUGUACAUCAGGCAGUCUCACCAGCUAAGAGGUGUAAAGUUCUGCUCCCCAUCACAAAGGGGUGUAGGAAAAUUAGUGCUUCCCAGAAGUCAUAUGACCUACCUCCCAUAAACAUCGGAGGUGCUGAUGUACAUCAGGCAGUCUCACCAGGUAAGAGGUGUAAAGAUCUGCUCCCCAUCACAAAGGGCUGUAGGAAGAUUAUUGAUUCCCAGCAGUCGUACGACCUACCUCCCUUCAUCAUAACGGGACUUGGUGGACAGCACCCACAACCACCAGCUUACAGGAGCUACGACAAGGAUUGUGGGAACAUUAGUUCCCAACAGUCCAGACCCCUUCCUACCUUUAACGUCAGAGGUGCUGAUGUACAUCAGGCAGUCUCACCAGGUAAGAGGUGUAAAGAUCUGCUCCCCAUCACAAAAGCCUGUAGGAAGAUUAUUGAUUCCCAGCAGUCGUACGACCUCCCUUCCAUAAACACCAGAGGUGCUGAUGUACAGCAGGCAGUCUCACCAGGUAAGAGGUGUAAAGAUCUGCUCCCCAUCACAAAAGCCUGUAGGAAGAUUAUUGAUACCCAGCAGUCGUACGACCUACCUCCCUUCAUCAUAACGGGACUUGGUGGACAGCACCCACAACCACCAGCUUACAGGAGCUACGACAAGGAUUGUGGGAACAUUUGUUCCCAACAGUCCAGACCCCUUCCUACCUUUAACGUCAGAGGUGCUGAUGUACAUCAGGCAGUCUCACCAGGUAAGAGGUGUAAAGAUCUGCUCCCCAUCACAAAAGCCUGUAGGAAGAUUAUUGAUUCCCAGCAGUCGUACGACCUCCCUUCCAUAAACACCAGAGGUGCAGGUGCGGAUGUACAGCAGGCAGUCUCACCAGGUAAGAGGUGUAAAGAUCUGCUCCCCAUCACAAAGGGCUGUAGGAAGAUUAUUGAUUCCCAGCAGUCGUACGACCUACCUCCCUUCAUCAUAACGGGACUUGGUGGACAGCACCCACAACCACCAGCUUACAGGAGCUACGACAAGGAUUGUGGGAACGUUAGUUCCCAACAGUCCAGACCCCUUCCUACCUUUAACGUCAGAGGUGCUGAUGUACAUCAGGCAGUCUCACCAGGUAAGAGGUGUAAAGAUCUGCUCCCCAUCACAAAAGCCUGUAGGAAGAUUAUUGAUUCCCAGCAGUCGUACGACCUCCCUUCCAUAAACACCAGAGGUGCAGGUGCUGAUGUACAGCAGGCAGUCUCACCAGGUAAGAGGUGUAAAGAUCUGCUCCCCAUCACAAAAGCCUGUAGGAAGAUUAUUGAUUCCCAGCAGUCGUACGACCUCCCUUCCAUAAACACCAGAGGUGCAGGUGCUGAUGUACAUCAGGCAGUCUCACCAGGUAAGAGGUGUAAAGAUCUGCUCCCCAUCACAAAGGGCUGUAGGAACAUUAGUGCUUGCCAGAAGUCAUACGACCUCCCUCCCAUAAACAUCAGAGGUGCUGAUGUACAGCAGGCAGUCUCAACAGCUACGAGGUGUAAAGAUCUGCUCCCCAUCACAAAGGGCUGUAGGAAGAUUAUUGAUUCCCAGAAGUCCAAAGACCUGCCUCCGUUAAACAUCAGAGGCGUCGGUCCACUGCGCCCUCAGCCACCAUCUGACAUAAAACCUGAGGGCAAAAAUAUUCUUCCCAGCAUCUCAAAGAAAAAGGAUUGCGGGAACAUCAAGGGUUCCCAGCUGUCCAAAGACCUUCUUCCGUUUAGCGUCAGAGGUGGACCAUCGCUUAUCAAACAUUCCUUCCUGAAGAAGAGCGUGUAUUCUCAAGCAGGUGUAAAAAUCGUUGAGAAAUGUCCAAAACAACAGAUAUCCUGGUUGUCGUGUCGAGAAACCACACCGAAGAAAUUGUGCCUUUCACUUUCUGGAAGGAAUCGUUGAUAGCUGGAUGGAUCUUGGGAAACCCAUGAUAUGUCUCACGUAUUAUAUGACACACAUACAUACAUACUAUAUUAAGGAUACACCCGCACACAUUUUUGAUAAUACUGCUAUUUAAUAAUUUAGAAGUUUUUUUUAUUUAGAAGGUUUUAAUUUGUAAUAAUUAUUUAAUUAUAUAUCGCUUCGGCAAAGGCGACCGCCUCGACGAGCAGCGGGGGUGAUAUGGGGACUGCUAUGGAUGUCGCUUCGCCAGCUCCGGCGGGAGACCAUUCCAUAGCGGGAAGACUCAUAGGCGGGAUGAGGACGAGAUCUCUGUCACGGCAUCGGACAGCUGCCUACUGGCAUCUGACGGGGACGAUCUCUCCGAGCUCCCGCCCACAAGCGGUAGAGCUCGUGAUGGGGCCGACCCGGAAAUGUCGGUCAUGCUAGCCCGGGCAGCCGUGAGCAUCGGGUUGCAGUGCGUCACACUGCCCUCCCCGAAGCGCUCGCGGCUGGACGAAUGGUUCUUGGGUACGUGUCGCGGUGAAAAAUCGCGAACCACCCCGGUGCCGUUCUUCCCGGAGUUGGAUGAGGAGCUCGCGAGGUCGUGGAAUGCACCCUUCUCGACGCGUUCCACACUCGUGAGCUCGGCAGCUGUGACUUCCCUGGAUGGCGGAGCGACCCGAGGCUAUGUUGACAUUCCCCAGGUGGAGCGUGCUGUAGCAGUGCACCUAUGCCAGCAGACGGCUGCCGCCUGGAGAGGUCGACCUAAACUCCCGUCCAGAGCGUGUAGGCUCUCUUCGACCUUGGUGUCGAAGGCUUAUAAUGCUGCUGGACAGGCUGCUUCCGCCCUCCAUGCCAUGGCGAUCCUCCAGGUCUUUCAGGCUAAAGUCCUGAAGGACCUGGAUGAGGGGAAGCCCGACCCCACUCGCACGAGUGAACUGUGCACUGCCACUGACCUCGCGCUCCAAGCGACGAAGGCCACGGCAGGGGCGCUGGGUCGGUCGAUGUCCACUAUGGUGGCCAAAGAGAGGCAUCUGUGGUUAAACGUUGUGCAGAUGAGCGAAGUCCAGAAGACCCGCCUUCUCGACGUGCCCAUUUCGCAAGCAGGGCUGUUUGGUGACACCGUGGAGAGCGUGGCACAACAGUUCUGUGCGGGGCAGAAGCAGACGGAGGCGAUACAGCAGAUAUUGCCCCGCCGCCGCAUGACCACCCAUAGGUCGUCACGUCCCCGAGCGCCGCCUGCUUCCCAACAGCCUCGCCCCUCUGCAGUGGUUCCUCCGGCUCCUGGGCCCUCACAGCGGAUGGCCCACCCGCGGCGCAGGCCCACACGGAGGAGAGCGACCCCCCGUAAGCAGUCCACGAGGAAGGAUUCCCAGCGGCCUUGACGGGACGAACCCGGGGGAAACAUUGGGCCCAACGUCGCUCAUACCCCAGCUCGCUCAACUGGUGCGUCCCCGAUGGGCGGCGGGAGACCAUUCCAUAGCGAGAAGACUCAUAGGCGGGAUGAGGACGAGAUCUCUGUCGCGGCAUCGGACAGCUGCCUACUGGCAUCUGACGGGGACGAUCUCUCCGAGCUCCCGCCCACAAGCGGUAGAGCUCGUGAUGGGACCGACCCGGAAAUGUCGGCCAUGCUAGCCCGGGCAGCCGUGAGCAUCGGGUUGCAGUGCGUCACACUGCCCUCCCCGAAGCGCUCGCGGCUGGACGAAUGGUUCUUGGGUACGGGUCGCGGUGAAAAAUCGCGAACCACCCCGGUGCCGUUCUUCCCGGAGUUGGAUGAGGAGCUCGCGAGGUCGUGGAAUGCACCCUUCUCGACGCGUUCCACACUCGUGAGCUCGGCAGCUGUGACUUCCCUGGAUGGCGGAGCGACCCGAGGCUAUGUUGACAUUCCCCAGGUGGAGCGUGCUGUAGCAGUGCACCUAUGCCAGCAGACGGCUGCCGCCUGGAGAGGUCGACCUAAACUCCCGUCCAGAGCGUGAAGGCUCUCUUCGACCUUGGUGUCGAAGGCUUAUAAUGCUGCUGGACAGGCUGCUUUCGCCCUCCAUGCCAUGGCGAUCCUCCAGGUCUUUCAGGCUAAAGUCCUGAAGGACCUGGAUGAGGGGAAGCCCGACCCCACUCGCACGAGUGAACUGUGCACUGCCACUGACUUCGCGCUUUAAGCGACGAAGGCCACGGCAGGGGCGUUGGGUCGGUCGAUGUCCACUAUUGUGGCCCAAGAGAGGCAUCUGUGGUUAAACCUUGCGCAGAUGAGCGAAGUCCAGAAGACCCGCCUUCUGUACGCACCCAUUUCGCAAGCAGGGCUGUUUGGUGACACCGUGGAGAGCGUGGCACAACAGUUCUGUGCGGUGCAGAAGCAGACGGAGGCGAUACAGCAGAUAUUGCCCCGCCGCCGCAUGACCACCCAUAGGUCGUCACGUCCCCGAGCGCCGCCUGCUUCCCAACAGCCUCGCCCCUCUGCAGUGGUUCCUCCGGCUCCUGGGCCCUCACAGCGGAUGGCCCACCCGCGGCGCAGACCCACACGGAGGAGAGCGACCCCCCGUAAGCAGUCCACGAGGAAGGAUUCCCAGCGGCCUUGACGGGACGAACCCGGGGGAAACAUUGGGCCCAACGUCGCUCAUACCCCAGCUCGCUCAACUGGUGCGUCCCCGAUGGGCGGCGGGAGACCAUUCCAUAGCGAGAAGACUCAUAGGCGGGAUGAGGACGAGAUCUCUGUCGCGGCAUCGGACAGCUGCCUACUGGCAUCUGACGGGGACGAUCUCUCCGAGCUCCCGCCCACAAGCGGUAGAGCUCGUGAUGGGACCGACCCGGAAAUGUCGGCCAUGCUAGCCCGGGCAGCCGUGAGCAUCGGGUUGCAGUGCGUCACACUGCCCUCCCCGAAGCGCUCGCGGCUGGACGAAUGGUUCUUGGGUACGGGUCGCGGUGAAAAAUCGCGAACCACCCCGGUGCCGUUCUUCCCGGAGUUGGAUGAGGAGCUCGCGAGGUCGUGGAAUGCACCCUUCUCGACGCGUUCCACACUCGUGAGCUCGGCAGCUGUGACUUCCCUGGAUGGCGGAGCGACCCGAGGCUAUGUUGACAUUCCCCAGGUGGAGCGUGCUGUAGCAGUGCACCUAUGCCAGCAGACGGCUGCCGCCUGGAGAGGUCGACCUAAACUCCCGUCCAGAGCGUGUAGGCUCUCUUCGACCUUGGUGUCGAAGGCUUAUAAUGCUGCUGGACAGGCUGCUUUCGCCCUCCAUGCCAUGGCGAUCCUCCAGGUCUUUCAGGCUAAAGUCCUGAAGGACCUGGAUGAGGGGAAGCCCGACCCCACUCGCACGAGUGAACUGUGCACUGCCACUGACCUCGCGCUUUAAGCGACGAAGGCCACGGCAGGGGCGUUGGGUCGGUCGAUGUCCACUAUUGUGGCCCAAGAGAGGCAUCUGUGGUUAAACCUUGCGCAGAUGAGCGAAGUCCAGAAGACCCGCCUUCUGUACGCACCCAUUUCGCAAGCAGGGCUGUUUGGUGACACCGUGGAGAGCGUGGCACAACAGUUCUGCGCGGUGCAGAAGCAAACGGAGGCGAUACAGCAGAUAUCGCCCCGCCGCGGCAUGACCACCCAAAGGUCGUCAAGUCCCCGAGCGGCCCCUGCUUCCCAACAGCCUCGCCCCUCUGCAGUGGUUCCUCCGGCUCCUGGGCCCUCCCAGCGGACGGCCCAUCCGCGGCGCAGACCCACACGGAGGAGAGCGACCCCCCCCGUCAGCAGUCCACGAGGAAGGAUUCCCAGCGGCCUUGACGGGACGAACCCGGGGGAAACAUUGGGCCCAACGUCGUUCAUACCCCAGCUCGCUCACCUAGUGCGUCCCCAAUGGGCGGCGGUAUGCCAUUCCAUAGCGGGAAGACUCAUAGGCGGGAUGAGGACGAGAUCUCUGUCGCGGCAUCGGACAGCUGCCUACUGGCAUCUGACGGAGACGAUCUCUCCGAGCUCCCGCCCACAAGCGGUAGAGCUUGUGAUGGGACCGACCCGGAAAUGUCGGCCAUGCUAGCCCGGGCAGCCGUGAGCAUCGGGUUGCAGUGCGUCACACUGCCCUCCCCGAAGAAUGGUCGAUGUCCACUAUGGUGGCCCAAGAGAGGCAUCUGUGGUUAAACCUUGCGCAGAUGAGCGAAGUCCAGAAGACCCGCCUUCUGGACGCGCCCAUUUCGCAAGCAGGGCUGUUUGGUGACACCGUGGAGAGCGUGGCACAACAGUUCUGCACGUGCAGACGGAGGCGAUACAGCAGAUAUUGCCUCGCCGCGGCAUGACCACCCAUAGGCGGUGAGCGGCCCCCUGUCAGCAGUCCACGAAGAAGGAUUCCCAGCGGCCUUGACGGGACGAACCCGGGAGAAACAUUGGGCCCCACGUCGUUCAUUCCAUCGCCGAGACGCUGCCUGCCGCGUCUCAACUAAGACAGUUUCAGGGCCCGGCGCCCACCUCCUCAUUACAAUUGUUGUUUUCCCUGGGUUUCCCUCUUCCACAGCACCCCCAGGCGCGCAGUGGCGAGGAAGAUUGUUGUUUUCCCUGGGUUUCCCUCUUCCACAGCACCCCUAGGCGCGCAGUGGCGAGGAAGUACGGCGCGAACGACAACAACCUCCACGCGACGUUGCGUCGGCCAGCGCUGCAAGACAGAGAUGACGCUAUCCUGUUGGCCGAAAACAAAAAAUGCAGCGUUCGUCAUCAGAACUUACAACGUGCCUCCGUCAUUGCCGGUGGAUUAGUAAAACAUGGGUAAAUUUGGAUUUGGCAGUGAAAUAUAAGUGUGCGCACAAUUAACGUACACAAAAUACCACGUUCACCAGCACACAUCGCCCACAAUAGAAACAUGAGAAAUCGGCCCGUUCUGCUUACAAUACUCAACCUUCAUACAUGAAUGUUAUGUUUUCACGUCUAGAGGGAACCAGAAGGACCAGUAGGAGUGGACCAGUAGGAGUUUUACUAAAUUUACUUUCAGAUAAGUGAUAACUCUGUUGCAAACACACACAGGCACAGUUCUGAGAUCAGUUUUCUCAGACUUUGGGUCUGUGUGUGUUUGAUGGAAGAUUCUGUUCUUAGUUGUGAUUAUGAAGAUCCAAGGAGGGUGGAGAGAAAUCUUUGCUGGAAAGAACAGAACUGUAACAUAUAGAUAUUAAUAAGAAAUUUGGUGAGUAGAAAUCUAUUAGGAUUAUUCAAUCAACACUGAUCUACACACAAAUCUUAACUGACAGCAGAUGCAGUCAUAAGCAAAUUCACUCAUACCCUCUCUCAGUUGCUCCCGUUGGGUCAUGUCUUCACCGAUGAUAGGUUUUGUUUCAGACUUGGGAUUCUCUUAUGGCCGGUGUGAGGCACGAUAAGCAGUCAGACUUCAGCCAUGUGUCCUACUCAUGUUCACACCAAUUGUUUACAUUAUGCAUGUAAUGUUUGCAUGUAUAGCAUGCGGUCUGUGUGGUCAAGUGGGAAUGGAAAACUUUCAGAGAACCAUUAAGAAGUAAAGCAAACCGUUAGAAAACACAUCAUGAGAAAUUAUGCCAAUUUAGGAAUUCACUCAAAAAAAUUUUUUUUACUUAUCAAGAUUACUUAAUUUAAACGUGAAAUUUAAAGUGAAUUAAACAAUAAAAAAGUAAUUUGGCACAGCAUGAUUUUUUCAUAUGAAGUCAUGUAACUUAAUCCAUUCAAGUUGGGACUACAUGAAUGAUUUGUGUUGCGUUAACCCAGAACUGUUGAAACUGGCAGAUGAUUUCCAUUUCCCAGCAUGCUUUGCGUAAGACUGCAUUUGGAGAGAAUUUAUCUUAAUUAAGUGUUGUUUUAUGUCUUUUUCAGUUAAGAGAAACACUUGUUAGUGUUAACUGUUGAUUUAUCUUUUAGAUUCAGAAGAGUUUGCUAUAGUUUUGAAUUUUAUUACCAUUCUUCAGAAGAGUGCUGCGUUUGCUUAUGUAGUGGAAGGUUACAAUUUUACAAUUAGCAUAUUGGUUAAGCUGUUUUAACUAAUAAUCUUCUUGAAAAAGAUAAGUGAAUUUAGUAAGAUAAUUUAAAUAGUGAACUAUUAAGUGACCUAAUAGUGAACUUUUUAUGCAAUAUAUCUUUAAUCUAAAGAUAUUAACAUGAGCCACUGCCGUAACAAUGCCGUUUUAACGAUCAAUAUGGCCGCUCUAGCGAAGAAGGUCCUACCAUCCAGUAAAACAAAGUUAUGAUACAGUUCAUGUCAUGUUUAAUUAUUGAUCGAAAAAUAUGCAGUUUCAUUUAGAUUUUUGCCACUGAUUUUAGUUGAUUGGACUGUGGACUUACUAGAUCGUAAAUAGCUGAUUUAAAAACCCUUUAAACAUUGCAAACAUGGCCACGAAGAUAUAUUACUUAUAUUUUUUUUAUUUCAUGCACCAAGAUUACAUAAAUCAUUUCAAACAAAUUUGAUUUUGUGGAAAAAUGUAAGUCGAUUUUGUGGAAAAACUUUACUUAAUUUAAUUAAGUUUCUUCAACAACAAAUUUUUUAGAGUUUGUGUUCGUUCAACAACUUAUUUAUUUGAGUGUUCAUGUUUCUAGCACUUCUGGUCACUUCUGCAAUAUUAAAGAGAAGUUCACUUCAAAAUUGGCCCCCAUUCACUUUCUUUCAAUGGGGACACAUUUUGAAGUAAAAUACUCCUUUAAGGCUAUGUAACAUUAUGCAUAGUCUUGUUUGCACUAUUUACUGGAUCUAUAAGGUGGCAAGUUAUUGUAGUGCGCAUUAGUACACAAAAAAUAAUAUUUGGACUUGAUCACAGUAGGUCAUCAGUUUUCCAAGAUGAAAACACACUCUUAUCACCUAUAAACUUGUGAUCUAAACAAGUGGUGCUGACAGGGUGUGCAGACUGGAGAUGUUAACAUAAUCAGCACUUAAAGUGUGUGACUGAUGUGAGAGGUGUGUAGAAGAGGUGUUAGUGACACUGUGGCAUUAUUUAGCAAUAAUAAUAGUUGGAAAAAUGUAUUUCUGUCUUUGAUCUUGUUAGGAACACAGCAGAUGCCUAAUAAGUCUAAUUUAAUGUGGAUUCCUAUACUGUAGGUUUAUGAGAGAACAUCCUUUACGUAUUUUCUUUGUUCUUGUUUUGUCUGGGAGUGCAUAUGUAAGUCAUAUCCAAUAUUUUUGUCUUAUAAAAGAAUUUCCUCAUUAUCACUUUCAGCCUAAGCUUAUGUUCACACUGUUGGCUUGUGCUACCACUAAAAAAAGCGCAUCCUGUGUCUUAGAGAUUUUGCUUUCAAACUGUUAUCAGCCGAUCGACUGGGAAAUGCACCAUUACUUGCUUUUGUAACCAAACAUUUCUUAACUCCAUAAGUAGGAAAAAUUGCUGUUAAACACAAUAAAAGAUGUUUUGAAGAAUGUUGGAAAGCAAACUGGGACAUAGUAUGACAUAGUAACCACUCGCAGCGAACAUUCUGACUCAAAAAUGUGUUCCAAACCGUGUGGUACUAAAAUGUGUAUGUCAUUCAAUAUCUUCUCCUGGCCGCCUGGUGGGAGUAUGUUUUUCCUGAAUAUGACGGUAACUACAUCGAGGGCAAGCCCCUGAAGCGUUGGACACUUCGGGAUAUCAGCCCUAAUGUGAUUUCAGGUCACCGCGGCUUUCAGAAAAUUUGCGUUGCGUUCAACCGGUCGGUGGGCUUCAUCUAAGCUUUGGACACUUCUGAAAGGUAGGUGGACCUAAAUACACAGCUUUUAUCUUGUUACUGACGAAAUUCCAUCGAAAUCCAUCGAGGAGAAAGUAUUUAACUAAAUCACGGAAAUUGUGUAGUAACAUUUGUGGUGGGUAGAUUAGUGAAUGUACUGCAGGCGCCGUUCUAAAAAAAAAACCAUUGUCUGUAUUCAACUCAUUCUGACGGUGUUUUUCUUUACAUUAUUACUGAUGCUAUGUAGUUUAAUAUGUAUAUCAUGGUUUUUGUGACAUGCUUGUCAAAAUUGUAACAUAGUUUACAUCACUUCGAGUUAGAUUACUGAGGACUAGCCUGUAACUCUGUCUAAAUUAAUCGGCUAAGAACACUUGAUAUGACAGUAGGCCUGGGCAAGUGCAAUGUGGAUAUGACAAAGUAAACAAGCAAAAUAUUAUUUAGGUCUUUUUUUGCAUUUUUUCAUGUAACCUCUAGUUUAAUAUAGCAAAUCUAUGCACAUAAUUUAAAAGUGGCAUUAGAUGAAUGUGAUCAAAAAGUUAUGCUUGUUGUCUGUUAAUUUUGUUUACUCUUUUAUCCAAAGUAUCCUGCAACACAUAAGCCAUGUUGAGUAGAACAUUUUAUGUCCAACUUUCUUUAAUUAUGUAGAUUAUGUAGACUUACAAACAUGUAAGAUGAUUCUCUGUGUUUAUUAGGCUUCUGGUGCUGCUUAUGUUAGAGAAAUCCAGUGUUAAUGAAUGUAUGUACAGUUGAGGGGCCUAAUAAUUGAUGUUAUGUCUUUACAGCUAAUUAUGAAAAGGAGAAAGGGGCCCAACACACAGCCAGGUCUAGCCAGACAGCACCUCCUGGAGAGAAUGAAUAUUUGUUGUGUACUUGUAUGAAUAUGAAUUAACAAUUAAUAUUGAUUUUUAUUGUUGUUUUCUCUUGUAUUCUGAAAAUAAAUGUUUAUUCUUUUUAAUUAUAAUUGUUUUCAGUGAGGUACCAUUGGUCUGAUGCCCAUUCCACCUUAAACAGUACAUUUUCAUGAUUUCAUUUGAAGGAAUUAACAAAAUUCUACCUUCUAUUCAAAUUUCAUGCAAAUAUCUGCUAAAAUAAGGAAGUUACAAGCAAAAACGUGUGAAUAAUAAGCAUUUUCGGUCACACCACUUCUACUGUAGUUAAUGUUAACUAUUUCACUAUAUUCCUCGGUAUUAUAAAUAUCAUAACUUGUGAAUCCUUAACUGAUUUUCACAAUUCAGGUGUCGUCGUAAAGGGAAUUUUCAGCUCUGUCUAGCCAUGUGAUCCAUUUUAAGCUUAGGGGUGUUUGGAAAUUUUGUCAUCAUACCUACUUUGUAUUAGCACCUAUUGUAUUAUUGCUCCUGUAUGACAUAUCACUUAUUGCUCCUUGAACUCUCUGUAAGUCGCUCUGAAUAAAAGCAUCUGCUAAAUGA